CCUCUCAUCAGCGACGACGGAGAGAGGCGGAAUCUUGAUGGAUCGGUUUUGAUCUCGGAUACGACAAUGAUAGUUGUUGUUCAUCCAAGGCGGCUUGACGAGGACAUUUCUCCAUUAUAUUUUUCACUGAGGGGCUGUUUGUUUCGCUCAAAAUUGAGCUGAAAGUGACGGAAAAUGCCCCUUUUGAAAACUGACGACGAAAAAUCUGUCAGUUUCCUUCAUUUACGGCUGUUCGGUUCGUUUUGAGCGGCGAAAGAAAAUGGGGCUGAAAGUGGCGAUUUGCUGAAAGUUAUUUUCCGUUCUAAAAACCCCGAUUUUGGUGGAAAAUGCUCAAAUCUCGUUUCCCCCCUCCCCUCCCCUUUCACCCUAGGUUUCUGAUCACCGCGCCGUUCCUUCCCUCCAUCUUCUCCCGCCACCUGUUCUUGAUCUUGUGGUUGAUUUGGGGGAUUUUGCCUAACGAUCGCUGUUCUUGUUCUUGCGGUUGAUUUGGGGAUUUGGCCUGACGAUUGUAGUUCUUGUUCUUGCGGUUGAUUUGAGGAUUUGGCCUGUGUUGCGGUUGAUUUGCGGUUGAUUGUGUUGCGGUUGAUUUGCGGUUGAGUUGCGGUUCUUGUUCUUGUGUUGCGGUUGAUUUGCGGUUGUUGUGCUUUCCUUGUGUUGCAGCUGCUUGUUGCUUGGGGUUUGGUUGUGUUGGCCUAUUGCAGCUCUUGUUUCUUGGCAUUUUGUUGUGCUUUCCUUGUGUUGUAGCAGCUGGUUGAUUUGGGGGUUUGGUUGUGUUGGCCUCUUGCAGCUCUUGUUUCAACCUGCUCUCGGCCUUUGUUUUGAUGCUUGGCCUUUGUUUUAAUUCAGUGCAUGGUUUCAACCUGCUCUCGGCCUUGGUUUCAGCUCUUGGUUGGCUUUUGGUUGGUAUGCAUAUUUUGUGUUA